rnacentral:lncRNA from 1 species
GACCAACAUGGCGAAACCUCCUGUGGGUUGCAGUGAGCUGAGAUCACACUACUGCACUUCAGCCUGGGCGACAGAGAGAGACCCUGUCUCAGUAAAUACAUAAAUACAGCAGUAAUAUCUAUAUUAUUAAAAGACUAGUUUCAACCUUUUCACAUUUUCCAAGUAAUGCAAAAUGUUUAAUUAUGUAAGGGGAAAGCAUGCUUUGUUAACAAAUAUCUUUUAAAAUAACAUAUAUCUGGUAUUGGGACAAAUGUAUAUUAAAAUGUAUGAAACUUAAUGACUCAUUGUAGCAUCAAAAAUAGACAAAAACUGCUUUCCUAAAUGAAUGUUUGGAAUUCAUGCCUUUUGCAUUUUUUUUAAAAAACUGGUUUAUUUUUAUUACUUUCAUUUUUUGUGUCUAAAUGAUGAGAUAAAACAGAAGGGUUCAGACUGCUGUAUGCAAGUGACAUUCUGCAAAUAGCAUGAUGUGGGUAUGGCUGGUCUUCAUUUCUAAUAAUGAGAGGCCAAAUCAGAUCUAAUGGUCACUAUAUUUUCUCUAUGACUUUGGUUUCAGAUAUACAAGAGACACCGUGAUGAGCCAUAUAAACAGUUUGAUGGGCUGAAUGCAAUUUGUAGGUCUAGUGAAUGAAAAUCGUCUUCUGUAGGUAGCAAGUAUGAAUUCCUCCAUGACAUCUGGGCUACAAGAAAUGCCAAGCUUGGCCACUGCUCACAGUACCCGGGACUCAUAAGAAUCCAUGCAUGCCUUCUCCCAUCUAAGACAUGCGGGAUCCAUGCCAGGAAGAAUGAGGCACAUGCCAGAGGAUAUGGGGGCUGGGAGGAGGGCACUAACCCAGAGUGAUUUGAAAUGAGGUAGCAUUCAAUGGCCCCUGGCAAAAAAGAGAAAGAAGACGAGGGAGCUGAAAAAUGUCUUCAUGGA